AUGAACGCUAGCUACAGGCUUAACACAUGCAAGUCGAGGGGCAGCAUGGUCUUAGCUUGCUAAGGCCGAUGGCGACCGGCGCACGGGUGAGUAACACGUAUCCAACCUGCCGUCUACUCUUGGACAGCCUUCUGAAAGGAAGAUUAAUACAAGAUGGCAUCAUGAGUCCGCAUGUUCACAUGAUUAAAGGUAUUCCGGUAGACGAUGGGGAUGCGUUCCAUUAGAUAGUAGGCGGGGUAACGGCCCACCUAGUCUUCGAUGGAUAGGGGUUCUGAGAGGAAGGUCCCCCACAUUGGAACUGAGACACGGUCCAAACUCCUACGGGAGGCAGCAGUGAGGAAUAUUGGUCAAUGGGCGAGAGCCUGAACCAGCCAAGUAGCGUGAAGGAUGACUGCCCUAUGGGUUGUAAACUUCUUUUAUAAAGGAAUAAAGUCGGGUAUGGAUACCCGUUUGCAUGUACUUUAUGAAUAAGGAUCGGCUAACUCCGUGCCAGCAGCCGCGGUAAUACGGAGGAUCCGAGCGUUAUCCGGAUUUAUUGGGUUUAAAGGGAGCGUAGAUGGAUGUUUAAGUCAGUUGUGAAAGUUUGCGGCUCAACCGUAAAAUUGCAGUUGAUACUGGAUAUCUUGAGUGCAGUUGAGGCAGGCGGAAUUCGUGGUGUAGCGGUGAAAUGCUUAGAUAUCACGAAGAACUCCGAUUGCGAAGGCAGCCUGCUAAGCUGCAACUGACAUUGAGGCUCGAAAGUGUGGGUAUCAAACAGGAUUAGAUACCCUGGUAGUCCACACGGUAAACGAUGAAUACUCGCUGUUUGCGAUAUACUGCAAGCGGCCAAGCGAAAGCGUUAAGUAUUCCACCUGGGGAGUACGCCGGCAACGGUGAAACUCAAAGGAAUUGACGGGGGCCCGCACAAGCGGAGGAACAUGUGGUUUAAUUCGAUGAUACGCGAGGAACCUUACCCGGGCUUAAAUUGCAGAUGAAUUACGGUGAAAGCCGUAAGCCGCAAGGCAUCUGUGAAGGUGCUGCAUGGUUGUCGUCAGCUCGUGCCGUGAGGUGUCGGCUUAAGUGCCAUAACGAGCGCAACCCUUGUUGUCAGUUACUAACAGGUUCCGCUGAGGACUCUGACAAGACUGCCAUCGUAAGAUGUGAGGAAGGUGGGGAUGACGUCAAAUCAGCACGGCCCUUACGUCCGGGGCUACACACGUGUUACAAUGGGGGGUACAGAGGGCCGCUACCACGCGAGUGGAUGCCAAUCCCCAAAACCUCUCUCAGUUCGGACUGGAGUCUGCAACCCGACUCCACGAAGCUGGAUUCGCUAGUAAUCGCGCAUCAGCCACGGCGCGGUGAGUACGUUCCCGGGCCUUGUACACACCGCCCGUCAAGCCAUGGGAGCCGGGGGUACCUGAAGUGCGUAACCGCGAGGAGCGCCCUAGGGUAAAACUGGUGACUGGGGCU
rnacentral:rRNA from 1 species